rfam:Tupaia chinensis contig76970, whole genome shotgun sequence.
AUACAGUGCUUGGUUCCUAGUAGGUGUUCAGUAAGUGUUUUGACAUAAUUCGUUUAUUGAGCACCUCCUAUCUAUCAAGCACUUUGCUAGGUUCUGG